GGAUCUAAACUGACCCUGAGGGAGGAGACUCAUCCCCAAUGGCGUCCAAGCCUGAUAUUGCCUAUCUAGCUACCUAACAUUCGCCUCUACAAGAACCAAAGGCUCUGAGAAGCAUUUACACCAACUGAGAGGGAUCAUUCACCAACUUUCGGUGAGGGAUGGAGAGCCGAUCUUGAUCAGUGGCCAGAAGAUGGAUCUGUUGCAGCCUGCUCCUGGGUCGUAUAAAGACACCUUUGUGGAAAACAGCUUCAUAGAGCCUGACCCCCUCCCUCCUGUAACUGGUGUGGUAGAUGAAAGAGACACAGCUCUCAAUGUGGCUAUCAGAAUACUGGAACAACAGGACCUAAGGAUGAUGGAAGUUCCCCAGAAUCUUGUGCUGGGAAAAGAAAGGGCACCAGCCAGAGGACGAACUUUCUUUGGCGAGGCAAUUUCCAAUUUAAAGAUGAGACUAAAACCCAGAAAGUGACGAGACAAUGUUAGGUGUGAUGGCGUCUUACCCAGGUCUGUUCAUGUGUACACACCCUUGGCAUUUAAGCUAUGAUAGAACUUCAGGGCCCCGAUGACAGACUUGAGGGCUUUGCUGGGUCUCUAUCCCCAGUGUCCCAAUGUGGCCUCAUUGAAUAAACCUCCUCCUCCUGUUUUCU
rnacentral:lncRNA from 1 species